rnacentral:rRNA from 1 species
GAUGAACGCUGGCGGCGUGCCUAAUACAUGCAAGUCGAGCGAACAGACGAGGAGCUUGCUCCUCUGACGUUAGCGGCGGACGGGUGAGUAACACGUGGAUAACCUACCUAUAAGACUGGGAUAACUUCGGGAAACCGGAGCUAAUACCGGAUAAUAUAUUGAACCGCAUGGUUCAAUAGUGAAAGACGGUUUUGCUGUUACUUAUAGAUGGAUCCGCGCCGCAUUAGCUAGUUGGUAAGGUAACGGCUUACCAAGGCAACGAUGCGUAGCCGACCUGAGAGGGUGAUCGGCCACACGGGAACUGAGACACGGUCCAGACUCCUACGGGAGGCAGCAGUAGGGAAUCUUCCGCAAUGGGCGAAAGCCUGACGGAGCAACGCCGCGUGAGUGAUGAAGGUCUUCGGAUCGUAAAACUCUGUUAUUAGGGAAGAACAAAUGUGUAAGUAACUAUGCACGUCUUGACGGUACCUAAUCAGAAAGCCACGGCUAACUACGUG